UAGCUCAGUCAGUUGAGCGUGACGCUAACAACGCUAAGGUCGCGGGUUCGAUUCCCGU
rnacentral:tRNA from 1 species